rnacentral:rRNA from 1 species
GAUGAACGCUGGCGGCGUGCUUAACACAUGCAAGUCGAACGGAAAGGCUCCUGCUUGCAGGGGUACUCGAGUGGCGAACGGGUGAGUAACACGUGGGUGAUCUGCCCUGCACUUCGGGAUAAGCCUGGGAAACUGGGUCUAAUACCGGAUAGGACGAUGGUUUGGAUGCCAUUGUGGAAAGUUUUUUCGGUGUGGGAUGAGCUCGCGGCCUAUCAGCUUGUUGGUGGGGUAAUGGCCUACCAAGGCGUCGACGGGUAGCCGGCCUGAGAGGGUGUACGGCCACAUGGGGACUGAGAGACGGCCCAGACUGCUACGGGGGGCAGCAGUGGGGAAUAUUGCACAAUGGGGGCAAGCGUGAGGCAGCGACGCCGCGUGGGGGAUGACGGCCUUCGGGUUGUAAACGCCUUUCGCUAGAGACGAAGCGCAAGUGACGGUACCUGGAGAAGAAGCACCGGCUAACUACGUG